UUUUCCUCUCAUUGUGAUGAUCAACAACAAUGCUUCUAAUGCUUCUAGGACUACUUCUUACUCUACGAUUCUGUGAUUCUGUGAAGCUUUGUGUUGUUUAAAGCAGAAAGAGAGGAUUUUGGGAACAGAUUGCUAAAAGUGAGAAAUUCAAAACAAUUAGAAGGAAACAACUCCCACAUACAUGCAGUCGCAAGGGAUAUGCACAGUUGACUGAGGACAUG